GCCAGACUCCUACGGGAGGCAGCAGUGGGGAAUCUUUCACAAUGGGCGAAAGCCUGAUGGAGCAACGCCGCGUGCAGGAUGAAGGCCUUCGGGUUGUAAACUGCUUUUAUAAGCGAGAAAUAUGAUGGUAACUUAUGAAUAAGGAUCGGCUAACUACGUGCCAGCAGCCGCGGUCAUACGUAGGAUCCGAGCAUUAUCCGGAGUGACUGGGUGUAAAGAGUUGCGUAGGCGGAAUGCCAAGUCAGCGGUAAAAUCGCGGGGCUCAACCUCGCUCCGCCGUUGAAACUGACGGUCUUGAGUGGGCGAGAAGUAUGCGGAAUGCGUGGUGUAGCGGUGAAAUGCAUAGAUAUCACGCAGAACUCCGAUUGCGAAGGCAGCAUACCGGCGCCCAACUGACGCUGAAGCACGAAAGCGUGGGUAUCGAACAGGAUUAGAUACCCCCGUA
rnacentral:rRNA from 1 species